ACCCGCCCCCGGAGCGGCCAACCUGGGCCACUAGCCUGGAGCGUGAACAUGAAGGUGGAACUGGGCCACCAGAAAGGGCAAAAGCUGCAGCUGGCUGGAUGUUCCUGGGACAGUGGGAAGAAGAGAUCCAAUUUUUGCGCCUUUGAUUGUCAGAGUGCUGAUGGAUGAAUUUGAGCUUCAGCACCCUGUAAAUUGGGUGUGGUGGCACACCCAGUGGAGACAGGAGGGUCGGAAGGAAGUUCAAGGUCAUCCUUGGUUACAUCUAAGGUUUGAGUUCGAGGCCAGCUUGGCCUACAUAAGACCCUGUCUCAAAUAUGCAUACACACACACACACACACACACACACACACACACACACACACACACAUAUAAUCUAAAAGGGUACUGAGGAGUGACAUCACUGUGGAAAAGGCUAGGACCAGGGCAAGGGCCCUAAUUUACUAAAAAUCAAGGAAAUUGCCGUCACUUACCUAUAAACUCCCUCAGGGGACAGCUGUUGCCUACGGCUGGGCAUCCAAACCCAGGCAGCCCCUGCUCUGCUGUCACAGAGUGAACUGACUGACUCACUCAAACUCAGGGCGCUUGAUUCUGGCUGGAUUCCCCGUGGUAAAUACCAGCCUGUGCGCUUGGCUCCGGGAUCUACUUCACUAUUCAAACAUUUCCUGGGAAGGAGUCCUACCAUGCAACUUUUCCCUCAGGAAGUGGGGAUAUCUAAAGGGGCAAGAAGCCCCCCAACACACACACACACACCAUUUGGCUGACCAUCUGAAUGACUAGGUGGAUGAUGUAUGCUGACUCCACCGUAUGGAGCCAAAAGUCCCGUUUACAUCUGCUGUUGAUGCUCUUGGAAAAAGAUGUCCCGAGAGAUGCCUGCGAUGAACUGCCAUAGUUAAGCGUGCGCCUUGCUAGGAAGAACUUGAAGUGUCUCCAUUCUCCUUGGGAAAGCUCUUCACAUUUACAGAUACACAAAAUAAGCUGACCCUUUGGCGAAGACAGUGAGCCACCAAGCUGAAGAAUUAUAAAUAGGCUCUCUUGAAUCGAGGCCGCCUGGGCUCUAUUUUGUUUCAUACUCGUAUCUAGAGUUAUGUAAAACUGGUAACAGCUUUCAGCCAAUGUAACACAGGCAUGCUGAAUGCUUUUUAGAAAGAUAAUAGGAAUGCGUGGGUUAAACACCACACAAAUCUGUGGGUGUCUACAAUGAACAUGAAGGGCGGAAUCUGCAAAUAGCAAAUAUCAGAUUGGGCAAGUUAUUAACUCUUUACCAGCCAAAUGAGAACUGACUGGCGGCGGCGGCUGCGGCGUCUGAGUGGAGGUGAAGCCCCUGGAAAAGAAAACCGGUUGGCGCUGCCAAGUAACAGGGAGAUAAAAAAAAUUAAUCUGAAAAAAGCCUCUAAAUGUGUUAAUUAGCAAGAUUUUGGCAACCUCCGAGGAUAGUUACAUCAGCAUGGAGGAGGUGGGGGCCAGAUGUGUAGUGGGCAACCAGGAAAUUUAGCUACAGAAGGGACCAGCAAGGCACGGGAAGGACUUGCUCGCCUGCAAGCUUCCCAGGCCUGUAGGCUGAAGUCAAGGAAGAAGCAAGGGACACGAUGCCGGAGACCCGAACACUCAGUGAGCACACGAGGGCAGAAAGCUGCAGGCAGCACCCCACUUCUGUCCAACCUCUGCCCUCUGACUGCACACCCAAUAACUAUGGGAGGCGGGCAGCCAGGAACAAGAGCCCUGCCACCAACUGCCCUUCGUGUCCUCCUUCACAUUGCUAGUGCCCUCUGGCUUGUUCACAUAAGUACUUGUCUAUCUUCCAGGUUGUCACCAUGCAGAGCAGGGCUGUGUGGCACUGUCUUCUUUGGCCUCCUUCCACAGCAGUAAGUGUUCCUGACCCUAACAAGAAGCUGUAAAUAAUUCCGUGGAUUAAAAACUCAGACUUCCCAACAAAAAGAUAUAUUGGGUCAUAAGUACUAUAAAGAAUAAAGGCACAAAAAUGAUAAAGGAGUUUGCUAUUUUUAUAGGCCAUUAAAAGGUGGUCUGACAAAAAUCCGGGCAGAGGUUGACUAUGGAAAGGGGACAAACCGCAGGCAUCUCUGUAGGACAAGCUUUCCAGCAAAGGAAACACCGAGCACAGAAGCUUUGAACAAGUGUGUGCCUGGCAUAGAAAGGCACAGCGAGGUGGGGAAACCAAACCAGGCCCUGGGCUAGGAGUCACACGAGGAAAGGUCAGGAAGCCACAGCUCGGGUGGAGGGAAACCAAACCAGGCCCUGGGCUAGGAGUCACAUGAGGAAAGGUCAGGAAGCCACAGCUCGGGUGGAGGGUUUUGUGGGCCAGGGUCACUGUCAGGAUAUGAAUGAUAUUCAAAGCCAUGAAACCUGCAGAAUUAAGGUACUUCAAUAAUGGUCAGAAAGGCCGCCCCAAACUGCAAAGAUAAAAGGAAACAGAAUCCAAACUCAGUAACAUCACAUUUUCUCCUGCUAAAUUUACAAACUCUUAAUAACUGAUACUGGUAAAAGCCCUUAAGGGAAAGCUUUUUUUUUUUCUUUUCAGAACAGGGUUUCUUUGUGCAUCCCUGGUUGUCCUGGAAUUAGCUCUAUAGAUCAGCCUGGUCUCGAACUCAAGAGAGAUCUGCCUGCCCCUGCCUCCCCAGUGAUGGUAUUGAAUUAAAGGCAUCAGCCACAACACCCUGGCUUUGUGUGUGUGUGUGUGUGUGUGUGUGUGUGUGUGUGUGUAGCACACAUGUGCAGUACACAAAGUGGCCAGAAGAGGGUAUUGGAUCCCCUGGAACUAGACCUACGAAUGGUCCUGAGCCACCAUGUGCUCUGGCCAGUCAGUGCUCUGACCACUGAACCAUCUCUCUAGUCCCCUUGUUUUUCACUUGCCAAAAUAAUUCAAGCAUCAGCAAAUCACAUUCUUUUAUCCAGAAUUGUGAAGAAGCCUAAGGAGAGUGCACAUAUUCAUAGGUAGGCCAUUUGUGUUUUAGAAAAUUCUUGUGCUGUACACCAAAUGAAAAGAAUUUUCUGAAUAGGUGCCCUUAAUAAUGGCCCUAAUCCAGUGGUUCUCAACCUCUGGGUCACGACCCCCCUGUGAGUUGCAUGUCAGAUAUUUCUGAUUCAUAACAGUAGCAAAGAAGCAAUGUUAUGGUUGGGUGUCACCCCACACGAGGACCCGUAUUGGAGGGCUGCAGCGUCAGGAAUGUUGAGAGCCGCUGCCCAUCCCUUCUGCUGGUAGUUGUUCCUUUCCCGUCAGCUUCAUUACCCUCCCCAAAUGGAGGCUUCUCCUCAGGUCAGGGUAAAUCAUAAAUCAGACUGUAAGUACACAAGAGCCUUUCGGAAUCCUUCAUUCCGGCCCCUGUGCCAUGUGACUGUCAAGGCAACAGAGGGUGAAGACAAGGUUUUCUGGCAAAGAACAAACACUGCCCUACGUCUCCAGAACUUUCCACAUCACAGGAGGAUCUAACAAUGCCAAAUGUUCAUGAGCAAAGUGUUGACCAGACUUCAGAGAAACACUAGUUUUAUAAAGCACAGCAGAAAGUAAGACCAAACAUAGAGAGAUUAAGAGUCCCCAGUUUGGCCAGGUGGUGGCACACACCUUUAAUCUCAACACUCAAGAGGCAGAUCUGU